UGAGUCGGUCAGGCGGCCGCGUCGAGCCCUCCGGGGACUCGCCGAGGAACGUCCGGGCUCCACAGGGCACGGUGGUGGCUAACGGCCACCCGGGGUGACCCGCGGGACAGUGCCACAGAAAGUAGACCGCCUCCGGCUCCGGCCGGGGGUCAGGGUGAAAGGGUGGUGUAAGAGACCACCAGCGCGCCGGGUGACCGGUGCGGCUAGGUAAACCCCACCGGGAGCAAGGUCAGACAGCACGCGUCUGAGGGCGGCCCGCCCGAGCGUGCGGGUAGACCGCUAGAGGUGGCCGGCAACGGUCACCCGAGAUGGAUGGUCGCCACCGUCGCAGUGCCGGCAACGGCGCGACGGGACAGGACCCGGCGUAUCGACCGACUCAUCCA
rnacentral:RNase_P_RNA from 1 species